rnacentral:misc_RNA from 1 species
UCCGGUUUGUCACCGGCAGUCUCAUUAGAGUGCCCAACUGAAUGUAGCAACUAAUGACAAGGGUUGCGCUCGUUGCGGGACUUAACCCAACAUCUCAGCGAACUCUCGGACAUGUCAAGGGUAGGUAAGGUUUUUCGCGUUGCAUCGAAUUAAUCCACAUAAUCCACCGCUUGUGCGGGUCCCCGUCAAUUCCUUUGAGUUUUAACCUUGCGGCCGUACUCCCCAGGCGGUCGACUUCACGCGUUAGCUUCGUUACUGAGAGUGUCAAACCCCCAACAACCAGUCGACAUCGUUUAGGGCGUGGACUAC